GUGGGGAAUAUUGGACAAUGGGGGGAACCCUGAUCCAGCCAUGCCGCGUGUGUGAAGAAGGCCUUUUGGUUGUAAAGCACUUUAAGCGAGGAGGAGGCAACCGAGAUUAAUACUCUUGGAUAGUGGACGUUACUCGCAGAAUAAGCACCGGCUAACUCUGUGCCAGCAGCCGCGGUAAUACAGAGGGUGCAAGCGUUAAUCGGAUUUACUGGGCGUAAAGCGCGCGUAGGUGGCCAAUUAAGUCAAAUGUGAAAUCCCCGAGCUUAACUUGGGAAUUGCAUUCGAUACUGGUUGGCUAGAGUAUGGGAGAGGAUGGUAGAAUUCCAGGUGUAGCGGUGAAAUGCGUAGAGAUCUGGAGGAAUACCGAUGGCGAAGGCAGCCAUCUGGCCUAAUACUGACACUGAGGUGCGAAAGCAUGGGGAGCAAACAGGAUUAGAAACCCCUGUAGUCC
rnacentral:rRNA from 1 species